rnacentral:rRNA from 1 species
UACAGAGGGUGCAAGCGUUGUUCGGAAUCAUUGGGCGUAAAGCGCGUGUAGGCGGCCACCUAAGUCUGGUGUGAAAGCCCAGGGCUCAACCCUGGAAGUGCACUGGAUACUGGGAGGCUAGAGGGUGAGAGAGGAGAUUGGAAUUCAUGGUGUAGGGGUGAAAUCCGUAGAUAUCAUGAGGAACAUCAGUGGCGAAGGCGAAUCUCUGGCUCAUUUCUGACGCUGAGACGCGAAAGCGUGGGGAGCAAACAGG